rnacentral:rRNA from 1 species
GAUGAACGCUGGCGGCGUGCCUAAUACAUGCAAGUCGAGCGAACAGACGAGGAGCUUGCUCCUCUGACGUUAGCGGCGGACGGGUGAGUAACACGUGGAUAACCUCCCUAUAAGACUGGGAUAACUUCGGGAAACCGGAGCUAAUACCGGAUAAUAUAUUGAACCGCAUGGUUCAAUAGUGAAAGACGGUUUUGCUGUCACUUAUAGAUGGAUCCGCGCCGCAUUAGCUAGUUGGUAAGGUAACGGCUUACCAAGGCAACGAUGCGUAGCCGACCUGAGAGGGUGAUCGGCCACACUGGAACUGAGACACGGUCCAGACUCCUACGGGAGGCAGCAGUAGUGAAUCUUCCGCAAUGGGCGAAAGCCUGACGGAGCAACGCCGCGUGAGUGAUGAAGGUCUUCGGAUCGUAAAACUCUGUUAUUAGGGAAGAACAAAUGUGUAAGUAACUAUGCACGUCUUGACGGUACCUAAUCAGAAAGCCACGGCUAACUACGUG